GGGGUUUCGCUCCCCUUUCCUUCCGCUAGUCCCGGCGAAGAUUCAAAAGGGACCCGACAACACUAAGGCACGCAAAGGCACCACCGUGACGCUGACUGCGGAGAUCCUGGGAGAGCCUGCGCCCGACGUGGGCUGGACCAAGGACGGGGAGGACAUCGAGGAGGAUGACAGGGUGUUCUUCGAGAUCGGCAGCACCACCACGACGCUGACCAUUCGCCGGGCCACGCCCCAGGACAGCGGCAAGUACGAGGUGUACGUAGAGAACAGCCUGGGCAUGGACCAGAGCUUCGCUCGCGUGGACGUGGCCUGAACGGCACCCCCGGACCUUCCGCCCUGGCGCCGAGCCCGGGGGUGGUGGGACCCACAGCCCUCCUCCAGCUUGCUUAAUAAAGCUGCUCUCUGACCCUC
rnacentral:sRNA from 1 species